AAAGGAAUAGACGGGGGCCCGCACAAGCAGUGGAGUAUGUGGUUUAAUUCGAAGCAACGCGAAGAACCUUACCAGGGCUUGACAUCCCUCUGACAGGCAUAGAGAUAUGCCCUCCUUCGGGCAGAGGUGACAGGUGGUGCAUGGUUGUCGUCAGCUCGUGUCGUGAGAUGUUGGGUUAAGUCCCGCAACGAGCGCAACCCUUAUCGUUAGUUGCCAUCAUUCAGUUGGGCACUCUAGCGAGACUGCCGGUGACAAAUCGGAGGAAGGUGGGGACGACGUCAAAUCAUCAUGCCCCUUAUGUCCUGGGCUACACACGUACUACAAUGGCCGUUAACAACGGGUAGCGAAACCGCGAGGUGGAGCCAAUCCUUAAAAACGGUCCCAGUUCGGAUUGCAGGCUGAAACUCGCCUGCAUGAAGUUGGAAUUGCUAGUAAUCGCGAAUCAGCAUGUCGCGGUGAAUACGUUCCCGGGCCUUGUACACACCGCCCGU
rnacentral:rRNA from 1 species